UGCUAUUGGGAUUCGACUAAGCCAUGCGAGUCGUGAGGGUUCGGCCCUCGGCGAACGGCUCAGUAACACGUAGAUAAUUUGCCCUUAGGUGGAGGAUACCCUCGGGAAACUGAGAAUAAUACUCCAUAGAUUUAGAAUGCUGGAAUGCUUUUAAAUUGAAAGAUUUAUCGCCUAAGGAUAAGUCUGCGGACUAUCAGGUCGUAGUUAGGGUAAAUACCUGACUAGCCUACGACGGAUACGGGUUGUGAGAGCACUAGCCCGGAGACGAUAUCUGAGACACGAUAUCAGGCCCUACGGGGCGCAGCAGGCGCGAAAACUUCGCACUGUGCGAAAGCACGACGAGGGAAUCCCAAGUGCUGGCUCGUAAGAGUCAGCUGUUUCUUUGUCUAAAAAACAGAGAGAGUAAGAGCUGGGUAAGACGGGUGCCAGCCGCCGCGGUAAUACCUGCAGCUCAAGUGGUGGCCGCUAUUAUUGGGCCUAAAACGUCCGUAGCCGGUUCUAUAAAUGCCUGGGUAAAUCGUACGGCUUAACCGUACGAAUUCCGGGUAGACUGUUCAACUUGGGACCGGGAGAGGCUAGAGGUACUCCUGGGGUAGAGGUGAAAUUCUGUAAUCCUAGGGGGGCCACCAGUGGCGAAGGCGUCUAGCUAGAACGGGUCUGACGGUGAGGGACGA
rnacentral:rRNA from 1 species